rnacentral:rRNA from 1 species
AUUGAACGCUGGCGGCAGGCCUAACACAUGCAAGUCGAGCGAGCGGCGGACGGGUGAGUAAUGUAUGGGGACUGCCCGAUAGAGGGGGAUAACUACUGGAAACGGUAGCUAAUACCGCAUACUAUCGGAUAACCCAUAUGGGAUUAGCUAGUAGGUGAGGUAAUGGCUCACCUAGGCGACGAUCCCUAGCUGGUCUGAGAGGAUGAUCAGCCGCAAUGGGACUGUGAAACGGCCAAUAUUGCUAGGGAGGCAGCAGUGGGGAAUAUUGGACAACGGGCGCAAGCCUGCUGCAGCCAUGCCGCAUGUAUGAAGACGGCCCUAGGGUCUGAAAGUACUUUGAGUCGGGAGGCGUUACCGACAGAAGAAGCACCGGCUAACUCCGUGCCAGCCGCCGCGGUAAUUC